UACGGGGGGGGCAAGCGUUGUUCGGAAUUACUGGGCGUAAAGGGCUCGUAGGCGGCCAACUAAGUCAGACGUGAAAUCCCUCAGCUUAACUGGGGAACUGCGUCUGAUACUGGAUGGCUUGGAUCCGGAAGAGGGAUGCGGAAUUCCAGGUGUAGCGGUGAAAUGCGUAGAUAUCGGGAGGAACACCUAUGGCGAAGGCAGCUCGCUGGGACGUUACUGACGCUGAGACGCGAAAGCGUGGGGAGCAAACAGG
rnacentral:rRNA from 1 species